AUCCCUCUGAUGAGUCCCAAAUAUGACGAAACGUAUGUCCUGCAU
rnacentral:hammerhead_ribozyme from 1 species